UCAGGAUGUUGAAUUUAUGCUAGAAUAUAUUUAUUGGUUUCCCUGGUUCUAGUUUGUCGUUUCCUUUUUAAAAUUAAACAUCCUUGGAAGUGCUUAGAUCAGGGUUCUAAAAAUAAAAAGUGUUAAAUAUUAAUUCGGCAACUAGCUAGUAGCGGUGCUUUGAAUACAAACAUGUAAGUUUUGUGACUGCAUUAUAAGCUUUAUACUAUGUUAUGAUGAAUUUGCUACCUUCCUUAUGUUUUGUCAUCUACGGAUUUAUUUCAUGUAGUACAGCCAUCAUUGCAGACAGCAGCUCAAUGUUACAAUAUAAUAGCAAACAUAUAUCAAUGCCUUAUAAUUUUCUUCUUUUUUGACAAAGUAUGCUCAAUCAAGAGUCCAAAACAGAUCGACGGUUCUAUUGGAGAAGAUGCCUUGUUUAUGUGGAAUACGACGGAUCAAAAAGAAAUCCUUGCUGUCAGCUGGGGAAUAAGAAAGGGAAACAUCCCCGAUCCUCAGUUUAUCAGUGUUAAUGGAUAUCAUGGAAGGGUCACCAAAAACAAAGAUAUUGGCGACACGUUAAAAAGAAGAGUAGAAUUUAUUGGAAACUUGAAAAUAGGUCGUGCUUGGUUUGUGUUGAAGAACCUUACUGUCAAUGACACUAAUGAAUACAUUGCAAGCAUCAGUGACGAUGUAUCAUAUGAUAUACCAUAUUAUGUGCGCCUAACUGUUGCAAAGAAGGGUAAAGUUAAGCCAUGCACUCUUUUGGGAGUAACAUAACUUAUCUAUUUCAUAUAAACUUCUGAUUCCUAACUUCUUAUUCCCUAAUCCACAUAGACCGUAUUCUCUUUAAGGAAAACAAUACGAUAUACAUAUUAUACAUAUUUGUUGUGAAGUGUUAUCGUCAGGGUGAGUGUUGUGUUGAGAAAGACUGUUGUUGGUGGUGACUUACCUCUGGACAACCUGAGCGGGAGUCAAUUUCAAAGACUUUCUCUAGUUCAUGUUCAUGUCUUCCUUAAGACUACACUCACCUGGAUGAUCACUGACUUCACAGCAAACAUCAACGCCUGGGUUCAAUAUAACGAAGCAAAAUGUAGUCUUUGUAGUAUUUCGACAACCAUGCGAAACGUUGGUUAUAUUUUUAGGCAACUUCAUAACUUUGUUUUUAAUAAUAGCAAUAAUAAUAAUAAUAAUAAUAAUAAAUUGAUAGAUAGUUUAUGAUACAACAGAUGGUAAUGGGCCAUCGAUAUCAACCAACACUAUCUGUUUUGAUCAAAACCUAGCCCCAUGUAGUGAUGCAUGACCUUAUCUAACCACAAAAUGUUAAUAGCAAAUUAGUUAGAAUAUAAACCAUCUUGCGAUUAGCCCAAACACCUGGUAACUAUAACCACAUGGAUCCCGCGCGAUAUAUUUUUGAUUAUUAUGUUUUCAGUAACACCAACAGAAAGACCUUCUCCAACCCCAGUCACUACAGCUGCUGCUCCGAACAUUAUAAAUAAAUAGUGAAAAAUAGGUGUUUUUGCAUCAGUCCCUUAAUUUUGAGCUUCGACAACUAAAACUACUACAAGUUCGAACAUUACAACACCACCCAAACCGAACUCGUCAAACAUACAAAGGCACAUUAAGGGUUACAUAAUAUUAAUGGAUAUUGCACUGGUCAUGUGGCACUUAAAUUUAGGGUCUUUGUUCUCAACGAAAAGACCAAGAGAGUCAGAAACUCCCUAAACUGCAAUUAUGUUGUUGUUAGUGCGUGGGGGAAUAUAGAAAUCACCAGAGGGUGUGUAUAGACAUUGAAGGAUUACUGCAGUUCUUAACAGGGGUUGAACAAAAUUACUUUGCGAUGGCUUUAGCAGUAAUUAAAACUUCGUUAUGCGUGCUUGGAGGAAAUGGAAACCAAAAUUUUUUUUAGAUAUAUAAAUAUAUAUGCAUAUUUAACCUAUGCAUUUAAACUGAGUGGAUGUUGCAAUAGACCCCUCAUGGAGUUUCAAACUUAAACUACCUCAAAACCUUUUAGGGUACCAAGAAAAUAGUGACAUUUUGUGUAACAAAAAGCUACUGAAGAGGAUUUUGGUUGUGUGAGGUCUGAGGGGUCAUAAUACUCAGGUCUAUUGCUUUGCACGAGUGAAAUAUUCAAGAUGAGAAAUAAACCAAAGUACAAAUCAGAAUCCGAAAUGAAAAAUGAAACCAUAAGCAAAGCAACGUGGAAAUAAAUAAGCAAAAA
rnacentral:misc_RNA from 1 species